rnacentral:lncRNA from 1 species
CUUUUGUGGUCAUAAACCUUGUGUCAAAAUUUCAUAGAUUUCUAUUCACUUAAACUAAAGUUAUAUUGUGAAAACCAAGAAAAUGCUUAUUUGGGCCCUUUUUGGCCCCUAAUUCCUAAAAUGUUGGGACCAAAACUCCCAAAAUCAAUCCCAACCUUCCUUUUGUGGUCAUAAACCUUGUGUUAAAAUUUCAUUGAUUUCUAUUCACUUUUACUAAAGUUAGAGUGCGAAAACUAAAAGUAUUCGGACGACGACGACGCCAACGUGAUAGCAAUAUACGACAAAAAAAUUAAAAUUUUUGCGGUCGUAUAAAAAUAGCUAC